UACAUGUGGGGCAAGCGUUGUUCGGAAUUACUGGGCAUAAAGGGUGCGUAGGCGGUUUGUUAAGUCACUGGUGAAAGUUUUCGGCCCAACCGGAAAAUUGCCUGUGAUACUGGCGAACUUGAGUGCGUGAGGGGUGGGGGGAACGAGCAGUGUAGCGGUGAAAUGCGUAGAUAUAUAGAUGAACACCAAAGGCGAAGGCAGUUAACUAGUCUGUUCCUGACACUGAGGCACGAAAGCGUGGGGAGCGAAACGG
rnacentral:rRNA from 1 species